GACGAACGCUGGCGGCGUGCUUAACACAUGCAAGUCGAGCGGAAAGGCCCUUUCGGGGGUACUCGAGCGGCGAACGGGUGAGUAACACGUGAGUAAUCUGCCCCUGGCUUUGGGAUAGCCACCGGAAACGGUGAUUAAUACCGGAUACGACCACUUCUCGCAUGGGAUGGUGGUGGAAAGUUUUUCGGCCAGGGAUGUGCUCGCGGCCUAUCAGCUUGAUGGUGAGGUAAUGGCUCACCAUGGCUUCGACGGGUAGCCGGCCUGAGAGGGUGGCCGGUCACACUGGGGCUGAGACACGGCCAAGACUCCUACGGGAGGCAGCAGUGGGGAAUAUUGGACAAUGGGCGGAAGCCUGAUCCAGCAACGCCGCGUGAGGGACGACGGCCUUCGGGUUGUAAACCUCUUUCAGCAGGGACGAAGCGCAAGUGACGGUACCUGCAGAAGAAGCACCGGCCAACUACGUGCCAGCAGCCGCCGCAG
rnacentral:rRNA from 1 species